rnacentral:rRNA from 1 species
UACGUAGGGUGCGAGCGUUAAUCGGAAUUACUGGGCGUAAAGCGUGCGCAGGCGGUGAUGUAAGACAGGUGUGAAAUCCCCGGGCUUAACCUGGGAACUGCAUUUGUGACUGCAUCGCUGGAGUGCGGCAGAGGGGGAUGGAAUUCCGCGUGUAGCAGUGAAAUGCGUAGAUAUGCGGAGGAACACCGAUGGCGAAGGCAAUCCCCUGGGCCUGCACUGACGCUCAUGCACGAAAGCGUGGGUAUCAAACAGG